rnacentral:rRNA from 1 species
UACGUAGGGUGCAAGCGUUGUCCGGAAUUAUUGGGCGUAAAGAGCUCGUAGGCGGUCUGUCGCGUCUGCUGUGAAAACUCAGGGCUUAACCCUGAGCUUGCAGUGGGUACGGGCAGACUAGAGUGCGGUAGGGGAGACUGGAAUUCCUGGUGUAGCGGUGAAAUGCGCAGAUAUCAGGAGGAACACCGGUGGCGAAGGCGGGUCUCUGGCCUGUAACUGACGCUGAGGCGCGAAAGCGUGGGGAGCAAACAGG